rnacentral:rRNA from 1 species
UACGGAGGGAGCUAGCGUUAUUCGGAAUUACUGGGCGUAAAGCGUGCGCAGGCGGUUUUGUAAGUUUGUCGUGAAAGCCCCGGGCUCAACCUGGGAAUUGCGAUGAAGACUGCAAGGCUUGAAUCUGGCAGAGGGGGGUAGAAUUCCACGUGUAGCAGUGAAAUGCGUAGAGAUGUGGAGGAACACCGAUGGCGAAGGCAGCCCCCCUGGGUCAAGAUUGACGCUCAUGCACGAAAGCGUGGGGAGCAAACAGG